rnacentral:rRNA from 1 species
CCGCCAGAGAACUACAAGUGAAAAACUUAAAACUCAAAGGACUUGACGGUGUCCCAUACCGACCUAGAGGAGCCUGUCCUAUAAUCGAUACUCCCCGCUCCACCCAACCCCGACUAGCAUACCCUCAGCCUAUAUACCGCCGUCGAUCAGCCUACCCUAUGAAAGUCCAACAGUAGACACAAUAGCCCCAUCGCUAAUACGUCAGGUCAAGGUGUAGCAUAUGUUGUGGAAGAGAUUGGCUACAUUUUUUAUAAUAAAAAUACGAAAAAUACUAUGAAACAGUAUAUGAAGGUGAAUUUAGUAGUAAAAU